rnacentral:lncRNA from 1 species
GUGCUUGAGAAGGUUCAAUGGCGUGGCAGGGACUAGCGGCCGAGUUCCUGCAGGUGCCGGCGGUGACGCGGGCUUACACCGCAGCCUGUGUCCUCACCACCGCCGCGGUGGUAAGCGGCCGGGCGGACCGGACGUCGCCUUGGUUACAGCCUCUGGCGGGAGGGGUGAGGGUCGCCAUGGUUACGGCGUGGCUCCCGGGCAGCUCUUGACUGGCCCCUGGUUCCACAGCAGCUGGAGCUCCUCAGCCCCUUUCAACUCUACUUCAACCCGCACCUUGUGUUCCGGAAGUUCCAGGCACCGUUCCUGCCUUGGGCGCUCAUGGGCUUCUCGCUGCUGCUGGGCAACUCCAUCCUCGUGGACCUGCUGGGGAUUGCGGUGGGCCAUAUCUACUACUUCCUGGAGGACGUCUUCCCCAACCAGCCUGGAGGCAAGAGGCUCCUGCAGACCCCUGGCUUCCUGUGAGUGUUGAGAGCCCUCCCUCCCUCUCCCCACCCUCAGAAGGAUCCCCACCGAUGGGGACCUGUGCUGGCCUGUGCUCAACACGGGCCCCUCCCCACAGAAAGCUGCUCCUGGAUGCCCCUGCAGAAGACCCCAAUUACCUGCCCCUCCCUGAGGAACAGCCAGGACCCCAUCUGCCACCCCCGCAGCAGUGACCCCCACCCAGGGCCAGGCCUAAGAGGCUUCUGGCAGCUUCCAUCCUACCCAUGACCCCUACUUGGGGCAGAAAAAACCCAUCCUAAAGGCUGGGCCCAUGC